rnacentral:rRNA from 1 species
CAGUAGCCACGGGAAUACGAAGGGUGCAAGCGUUAAUCGGAAUUACUGGGCGUAAAGCGUGCGUAGGCGGUUUGUUAAGACAGAUGUGAAAUCCCCGGGCUCAACCUGGGAACUGCAUUUGUGACUGGCAAGCUAGAGUGUGGCAGAGGGGGGUGGAAUUCCGCGUGUAGCAGUGAAAUGCGUAGAUAUGCGGAGGAACACCGAUGGCGAAGGCAGCCCCCUGGGCCAACACUGACGCUCAUGCACGAAAGCGUGGGGAGCAAACAGGAUUAGAUACCCGCGUAGUCCCUGUCUCUUAUAC